UCUCUCAUCUCACGGUUAUAAAGCCUGUAUAAACCAAAUUGCAUAAAUAUUUGGAGUCCGGACCUGCCAAAGCCUCUAUAAAUCGGCAGAAGCGUGAUUCCUUAAUCCUUACCAAGUUCUCUCUCUCUCUACAAUAGACGGAGAUUUCGCUGGAAAACUCUCCCUUCUCCGGCUAUUAUUUGACAUUUUCAGGCGAUUACUGGUAGGAAUCAUCAGCAAGCCACAGAAAGCAGUGAGGUUCCGUUAAGAAGAUGGUCCGGAUUUGGAGUGAAAUCGGACCAUGCGACGACAAAGGUUUUAUUCUUGCAAAGAAGAAACAAUUUGGAUUGAGUAGAGCCGGAAAAAAGAGUAAGUUAUUUUGUAUUUAUUAUUUAUUCUAUUUUAUUUAUUUUUAGUUAAGCAAGGUUAUUGUCGAUUUGAUAAAUUUAUGUAGCUGGUAAGGGAGACAUUUCCCAAAUGGAUUUACUGCAACUUUUUGAUAGUUUUAGAGAAGGAUUGCAAAAGUUUAAUUAAUAUUAUAAAAUUUUAAAUUAGUAUUAUUGUCUAGUUCUAUUAAAAUUUUGUAAGUCUCUAAAACUGUCAAUAGUUACAAUCAAUCCUAUUAGACUUGGGAAAAGAAAACAUAGAAUAACCCAAAAAAAAAUGAAAAUAAAAAGUUCAAAGAAUAUUCAAUAUUAAUUUAGUGGAUAAAUCAAAUGAACAAAUUGUCUCUUAAUUUUGUUAAUAAAUUUUGACAUAUUUAUUAGCUUAUUUAUUAUAUAUUAAACAAAAAGAAAAAUUGUAAUUAAGAAAAAUUGAGUUUUUGAAAACAUAAAAUUAUUUUCACAUUUACAAAUCCUGUAGGCAAGGAAGAAGUGAAUAGAUUAUCUGAUACAUCUUGUGCAGGUUACUUUGUCAUCGGAUUCUCGAAGAUGAAUUUAAAUUUUAUUUUUGGUGGUGGCUGUAAAGACAUGCAGUAUCUCACAUCAAAUUUGAAUUGAAGAAGCAGCCAGGAGAAUCUUUCACGCAGGGGUUAUAUUUUUCGAGCACGCAUGGACUAUAUCUUUCAUUCAGAGGAAAGAAUCUUUAAAGCAGCUGAAAAGGAUGGUAGACACUCUUGGCAGAAUUGAGUCCCUAUUAACAACUAUAUAUAGUCCAUUUUAGAACAAUAACACUCAGUUUGAUGGAGUUAACAAAGGCAUUUCAAUCCCUUUGACACGAGAUAAAUUGACUCUAUUGCUUUUUGACUUAUAAAUGAACCCUAUUUCACUCAGGAAGUUACUAUUUUAACCACCUUUUAAUCUCUUUACCAAACUCACCGACCACUGAAGAAGAAUAGCAGUGUGAAAGCCAUACAAGGAGAUAAAUAAAUAAAUAUAUAUAUUUACACAACGUGAGUUAAAAAUUACACAGCGACGGAUAAAAAAUUUGCCGUAUAUUUUGUAAUGUAUCAUUGAAAAAAUUGUUUGUAAUGUAUCAUUGAAAAAAUUGUUUCCACCGACGGCAAUCUUAGUUCCCUCACUAGCAUAAUCAGUGGCCCACUAAUGCUCACGAGAUUACAAUCACUGCUGAUUUCUGAGUUACGAGAGCCCCUACAGCGUAAGUGGGCGGUCAACAACAACCUCUGCCGCCACGAUGAUGUCAUCUUCCUCAAUGCGCGUGCCACGAGCAUCCUCUACAACGUAAGCGGGCGGUCAACAACUACAUCUGCCUUCACGAUGAUGUCAUCUUCCUCGAUGCGCGUGCCACGAGCAUCCUUUGCAGCGUUGUUUGGGGUUCUUUGUUUUUUCAUUUUAAUUGUAUAUAUAUAUAUAUAUAUACACACUCACAUGUAACCACACACAAUAAAAUAUUGAAGCUCUGUUUUUUCCUAGUUUUUUGUCUAUAUAUUAUCUUGGUCUUGCAGUGUUAUAAAUUUCCACAGUCCACUUUGUAAUCAACUUACGAGAACGCUUAGUCAGUUCUUUUUGGAAAAAAAAAAAAAAUUAAUUGCAUUUAUUCA